UUUUCAAUUUUUUUCAUUAUUUUUUACCUUUUUUUAAUUUAAAGCAUUGUUUGAGUGAAAAGGAACUAAUUGCAACAAUUUCGCAUUAAAAUAAAACAAAUUUUUAAAUUUUGCUAAAUUUCUCAAAAAAAUGGCAAGGGGUACCCCUUAUGAAAUUUUCGAGCGGAAAAUUGUUUUGAAAUUUUUUUCUGAUUUUUUAUUCUUUUUUUAAUUUAAAGCAUUAUUUGAGUGAAAAGAAACUUAUUGCAACAAAUUCGCAAUGAAAUAUAUCACAUUUAAAAAUUUUGCUGAAUUGCAGAAAAAUGAGGAACAUUUUACAUUUUCUCAAACAGGGUAAGGGACUUGGUUCCUCGCAUAACUUCUGGCACAGACAUCUGAGGGCAUGGCCGUCCAAGAAGAAAAUGUAGUCAUUGAUGCCAUCUAUCGACCACAGGCAAAGAUUGGAGAUCCGUUAGAUACCGACCGAGUUAUAGGCAAAAUUUGGUGCAAAAAUGAGGAAAAUUUUACAUUUUCUCAAACAGGGUAAGGAACUUGGUUCCUCACAUAACUUCUGGCACAGACAUCUGAGGGCAUGGCCGUCCACGAAGAAAAUGUAGUCAUUGAUGCCAUCUAUCGACCACAGGCAAAAAUUGGAGAUCCGUUAGAUACCGACCGAGUUAUAGGCAAAAUUUGGUGCAAAAAUGAGGAAAAUUUUACAUUUUCUCAAACAGGGUAAGGAACUUGGUUCCUCGCAUAACUUCUGGCACAGACAUCUGAGGGCAUGGCCGUCCACAAAGAAAAUGUAGCCAUUGGUGCCAUCUAUCGACCACAGGUUAAAGAUUGGCGAUCCGUUGGAUACCGACCGAGCUAUAGGCAAAACUUGGUGCGAAAAUGAGCCUUAGUGGAUAGACAAAUUUAUAGAUUUUUUCAAUUUUUUUCAUUAUUUUUUACCUUUUUUUAAUUUAAAGCAUUGUUUGAGUGAAAAGGAACUAAUUGCAACAAUUUCGCAUUAAAAUAAAACAAAUUUUUAAAUUUUGCUAAAUUUCUCAAAAAAAUGGCAAGGGGUACCCCUUAUGAAAUUUUCGAGCGGAAAAUUGUUUUGAAAUUUUUUUCUGAUUUUUUAUUCUUUUUUUAAUUUAAAGCAUUAUUUGAGUGAAAAGAAACUUAUUACAACAAACUCGCAAUAAAAUAUAUCACAUUUAAAAAUUUUGCUGAAUUGCAGAAAAAUGAGGAACAUUUUACAUUUUCUCUAACAGGGUAAGGAACUUGGUUCCUCGCAUAACUUCUGGCACAGACAUCUGAGGGCAUGGCCGUCCAAGAAGAAAAUGUAGCCAUUGAUGCCAUCUAUCGACCACAGGCAAAAAUUGGAGAUCCGUUAGAUACCGACCGAGUUAUAGGCAAAAUUUGGUGCAAAAAUGAGGAAAAUUUUACAUUUUCUCAAACAGGGUAAGGAACUUGGUUCCUCGCAUAACUUCUGGCACAGACAUCUGAGGGCAUGGCCGUCCACAAAGAAAAUGUAGCCAUUGGUGCCAUCUAUCGACCACAGGUUAAAGAUUGGCGAUCCGUUGGAUACCGACCGAGCUAUAGGCAAAACUUGGUGCGAAAAUGAGCCUUAGUGGAUAGACAAAUUUAUAGAUUUUUUCAAUUUUUUUCAUUAUUUUUUACCUUUUUUUAAUUUAAAGCAUUGUUUGAGUGAAAAGGAACUAAUUGCAACAAUUUCGCAUUAAAAUAAAACAAAUUUUUAAAUUUUGCUAAAUUUCUCAAAAAAAUGGCAAGGGGUACCCCUUAUGAAAUUUUCGAGCGGAAAAUUGUUUUGAAAUUUUUUUCUGAUUUUUUAUUCUUUUUUUAAUUUAAAGCAUUAUUUGAGUGAAAAGAAACUUAUUACAACAAACUCGCAAUAAAAUAUAUCACAUUUAAAAAUUUUGCUGAAUUGCAGAAAAAUGAGGAACAUUUUACAUUUUCUCUAACAGGGUAAGGAACUUGGUUCCUCGCAUAACUUCUGGCACAGACAUCUGAGGGCAUGGCCGUCCAAGAAGAAAAUGUAGCCAUUGAUGCCAUCUAUCGACCACAGGUUAAAGAUUGGCGAUCCGUUGGAUACCGACCGAGUUAUAGGCAAAAUUUGGUGCAAAAAUGAGGAACAUUUUACAUUUUCUCAAACAGGGUAAGGAACUUGGUUCCUCGCAUAACUUCUGGCACAGACAUCUGAGGGCAUGGCCGUCCAAGAAGAAAAUGUAGUCAUUGAUGCCAUCUAUCGACCACAGGCAAAAAUUGGAGAUCCGUUAGAUACCGACCGAGUUAUAGGCAAAAUUUGGUGCAAAAAUGAGGAAAAUUUUACAUUUUCUCAAACAGGGUAAGGAACUUGGUUCCUCGCAUAACUUCUGGCACAGACAUCUGAGGGCAUGGCCGUCCACAAAGAAAAUGUAGCCAUUGGUGCCAUCUAUCGACCACAGGUUAAAGAUUGGAGAUCCGUUAGAUACCGACCGAGUUAUAGGCAAAAUUUGAUGCAAAAAUGAGGAAAGUUUUACAUUUUCUCGAACAGGGUAAGGAACUUGGUUCCUCGCAUAACUUCUGGCACAGACAUCUGAGGGCAUGGCCGUCCACGAAGAAAAUGUAGCCAUUGAUGCCAUCUAUCGACCACAGGCAAAGAUUGGAGAUCCGUUAGAUACCGACCGAGUUAUAGGCAAAAUUUGGUGCGAAAAUGAGCCUUAGUGGAUAGACAAAUUUAUAGAUUUUUUUCAAUGUUUUUCAUUAUUUUUUACCUUUUUUUAAUUUAAAGCAUUGUUUGAGUGAAACGGAACUAAUUGCAACAAUUUAGCAUUAAAAUAAAACAAAUUUUUAAAUUUUGCUAAAUUUCUCAAAAAAAUGGCA